AAUUAACCCAAUCUAUUCAAGACAAAAAAUUUUAAAAAAUGAACAAAGCCUCUAAGAAAUUUGGGACUGUUAAACGUCCAAACAUAAGAAUAAUUGGUGUUCCUGAGAAGAGAAAUCUCUCCCAGCAGGGCUACUGGGCUCUGGGGUGGCACUAGGGAGUAUUUGCGAAGAGUGCUCUGAUGUGAUCUGUCUUCAGAUCUUUCAGCUGUGGAUACCAACACCUACUCUGGUGGAGGUAGCAGAGGAGUGAACUGGACUCCCUUAGGGUCCUUGGUUGUGUUUUUGUUUAAUGCACUGGUUUUGUGUUGGUUGGCCUCCAGCCAGGAGGUGGUGCUUUCAAGAGCUCAUCAGCUGUGGUACCAUAGGGAGAAUGCAAACUUGCCCUAGGGUCACCUGGUUAAGUAUUCAGAUUUCUCAGGUGUGGUGAGCAGGGCCAUAGAGCUCCCAAGAGAUGAUGACCUUUGUCUUUGGCUACCAAGGCGGGUAGAGAAAGAACUCCAGGUUGGGUGCAGGGAUGGGUAUUUCUGGGCUCAGCCUCUCCUUGAGUGGGGCUUGCUGGGGCUGCUGUCGGGGAUGGGAGUGUGGUUCCCAGGCCGACGGAAUUAUGUUCCCAGGGGCAUUAUGGCUGCCUCUGCUGAGUCAUACAGGUCCCCAUGGAAGUGAAGGAAAGCCAGCAGUCAUAGGCCUCACCCUACUCCCAUGCAGCCUGCAGUCCUAAAGGCCAGUGUUACUCCCACUGUGCCCCCACCAACAGCACCGACUCUAUUUCCAGGCCGCUGGUGACCAGGGCUGAGAAGUUGCCCCAGACCAUGAGCCUCCCCACUGAUAAAGCAAGCCGACUCAGUUUUUCAGCCUCUCAGGGAGCCUGCAGUGGUGAUCAAGUUUCUUCAAAGGGUCUGUGGAUUCUCUCAGAUUUUCUGAUAUGUUCCUGGCAUAGUCCUUGGAACAAAAGUUCAUAAUGUGGGUCCUGACGGUCAAAUGCACUUCUAUCAUGGAAGCUGUGCUGAGAACAGUGUUACUACGAUGUCAUUGUACAGUAGUACAUAAUUUGGUAGUUGGAUAAUGGUAUUUAUAUUGGGACUUGAUACAAAAGUAAGCAUUUUAGAUUUGGCUCCAAACAUCUUCUAAGGAAACCACAGACAAUGUAAGUAUUUAUUUAAAACAAUAACAGUCUCCACAAAGUAAAAAGAUACUGGGUUAGAAUGAUACGGAGUAAAUAACUUUUUAGUUAGUUAUAUGUGCUGACAAUGAUGUAUAUGCUAUUACUAGUAUUAUACUAGGAUUAGCUUUCCUACAGGAAUGAAACACAAUGUGGACAAACUUUUUCAGUGAAGUCUUGCCUACUGCCUCUGUGAAAAAAUUUCUAAUUAUGAUUUUAUCAGCCAGGAGGGCUUAAUCUCCUUGACAAAAUAAGAUUGUCUCAGUGACUUGAAAAGCCUUCUAGAAAAAUGUGAAAUUCAAUUAGCCUUAUCUUCCUUCUCGCAUUAAAAAAAUUUCUCUUCAUAUUCAUUGUCCACAUUUUAUCUUAUUUUCAUCAUGAACUCUUGCAGAAACAUGAAGCCAGUGGGCUGCAGGGGUCCAUGAUAGUGGUGUGGAGACUAGAAGGUGGACGCACAUCAGUGUGCAUAACAUUUCAAGUGACACCUGUUUCUGAUUUGACCACGUCAUUUUCCACUCUCUGUAGCACAACUGAAAGCUGAAGAACGUUUUGAACUAAGUGAGUGACAAAGGCAAUUAAAAAAAGAAACUGGCACAAUUUAGAAAGGGAGAAAAAUUCUCUAAUGAGAAUAAAAUCUGGCUAAGGGGUUGUGCGUUUUGAGUGGUUAUUCCAAAUGCUUCGGUAUCUGCCCUGUUGCCUUCCUUGGUGCCUGGGGUACCUGGAGGGGGUGUGGUUUUAGUGUGGGCAUCGCCACUCCUUCAGGAAGACUCUUGGGUUGAAGAACUGGGGAAAAGUGGUAAUAUCUGGACAAAGUGCCCUCACCCCAUCCUGCCGCCUCAGUGCAAUGCUCCUGGUGCUCACAGCAUCCCAGGAGACAAAGGACUAUUCUAGACAUAUAGAUCUGAGGUCAAGUCCUACCUCUGCUCUUGAUUAUUCUAGGACAUUAAGGCUCACAUAAUCACUCUGAUAAUUAGUUUUAGAAUGGGUACAAAUUAUCUAAUGGGUGCCCAUUAGAAUGGGUGCAAAUUAUUGCCCUUGACAUAUUUAUACUGCUGAUUAAAGUGAAAUAACAGUUGCUUUGGAAAAAGGUAACAAUAUGAUUAAAUAAAUUAUUCCAGUACUUUAAAUCUGAGUAAAACUCUCUGCAUGGGGUAGGUUCUUAAGAAAUAUUUGGUGACUGAUGGCCCAAAGCGAAAGUUAUUACUCAACUUCAUGUUUCAUCUCUGGCCCACAUGACCCAGUGGGGGCCCUCAGGGAGUGUGAAUGAGUAAAUGGGUGGGGUAGGGUGGUGUGGGAUGAGGUGGCAGUGUUCACAGUAACUAGGGUGAAGCCAUUGUCCACCUUGGUUUUGCCUCCUGGGACCCAUUUUCCAUAAGCUGCAUUGCAGCAAGUCUUUUGUGAAUCCCAUAAAGAGAAAAAAAUUCAAUCUAAAUUUGAUUGCUGCUGAUAAAGCACUCUUUUGGAGCUUUUAUUUGCUAUACUUUACAAAAGGAUAUAAUUUUCCAUGACACAAAUUAAUACAGUUCAAAAGCUUAUUAAGACCCACAUAAUACUCCUAGAUUUUGUCUACAAAAUUCAAGGGUUUCUUAGAAGAUUUUUAGGAGCUAUACAAGUUCUUAUUUCUCCUUAAUAUAAGUACAUGUUGCAAUAUAAUCAACUUUACCAAAUUACAAUGCUCCUUUCACAUUUUUGUGUAAAAAGGGAACCACUGAGAUUGAUGUUUUAUUCUUUGUCAUUGCUAUAUCUUGCCCAAAACUCUGUUAUAAAACCAAUGAGCUAUAUUUUGUUUGUUUUAUUUACAUGUCUGUCUCCACUAGACUGUAAACUCUUAAAGGGGAAGACUCUAUCUUAUUUAUCUGUUUAAAUCCUGCAAUGCUAGCACAUAAUUGUUCCACAUCAAUGUAGACUCAACGAAUGAAUGAAUCAUUUAAUUGACUACCAAACUGAUCACUUUAAAAAUAAGUUUAAUAAGAGGGACAACAUAUAAAAUAAUAUCUAACACUGAAGUAAAUUUACUGAGUAACCUUCUCAUUUUUCACUUCCAUUUUAGUGGAAUUGUAAAAAAGUUUGAAGAGAUCUAUUCCCAUUAAGUUUUAAAAAUAUAUAAUAUGAACUGGCUUAGGCAUUCUUGCUCCUUCUAGUAAGACCAUACCAAAAAUGUUUCUCAGCUAUUUUCUUUGCUUGCUUCCUCUCCCAUUGCUUCUCCUGCUUGCAAAAGCAAUGUCUGAACAUAAUUCUGACCCACGGGAAUGGGUAAGAAGGGGAAGCCACUAGGAGAAUGAUUAUU
rnacentral:lncRNA from 1 species